rnacentral:rRNA from 1 species
GACGAACGCUGGCGGCGUGCCUAAUACAUGCAAGUUGAGCGCUGAAGGUUGGUACUUGUACCAACUGGAUGAGCAGCGAACGGGUGAGUAACGCGUGGGGAAUCUACCUUUGAGCGGGGGACAACAUUUGGAAACGAAUGCUAAUACCGCAUAAAAACUUUAAACACAAGUUUUAAGUUUGAAAGAUGCAAUUGCAUCACUCAAAGAUGAUCCCGCGUUGUAUUAGCUAGUUGGUGAGGUAAAGGCUCACCAAGGCGAUGAUACAUAGCCGACCUGAGAGGGUGAUCGGCCACAUUGGGACUGAGACACGGCCCAAACUCCUACGGGAGGCAGCAGUAGGGAAUCUUCGGCAAUGGACGAAAGUCUGACCGAGCAACGCCGCGUGAGUGAAGAAGGGUUUCGGAUCGUAAAACUCUGUUGGUAGAGAAGAACGUUGGUGAGAGUGGAAAGCUCAUCAAGUGACGGUAACUACCCAGAAAGGGACGGCUAACUACGUG